UACAGAGGUGGCAAGCGUUGUUCGGAAUUACUGGGCGUAAAGGGCGCGUAGGCGGUCUUGCAAGUCCUGUGUGAAAUCCCUCGGCUCAACUGAGGAACUGCACAGGAAACUGCUUGGCUUGAGUUCGGGAGAGGGAAGCGGAAUUCCGGGUGUAGCGGUGAAAUGCGUAGAUAUCCGGAGGAACACCGGUGGCGAAGGCGGCUUCCUAGACAGUGACUGACGCUGAGACGCGAAAGCGUGGGGAGCAAACAGG
rnacentral:rRNA from 1 species